UACGUAGGGUGCAAGCGUUAAUCGGAAUUACUGGGCGUAAAGCGUGCGCAGGCGGUGCUGUAAGACAGGCGUGAAAUCCCCGGGCUCAACCUCGGGAAUGGACUGGAUACUGGCGCUCUAGACCUCUGGAGAGAGAACUGGAAUUCCUGGUGUAGCGGUGGAAUGCGUAGAUACCAGGAGGAACACCGAUGGCGAAGGCAGCCCCCUGGGUCAAGAUUGACGCUCAUGCACGAAAGCGUGGGGAGCAAACAGG
rnacentral:rRNA from 1 species